AAGCUCUGGUUCCUCUUCAUCCAUCUAGCUUAAUCUUUCUCCUUUUAUUAAAGAUUACAGUGGAGAGGAAGAAUUUGAUGAGCUUGACUUAAUUUUUGGAACUCCAUCCAAGGAUGGGGU